UUGCUUGCUUCGGCAGCACAUAUACUAAAAUUGGAACAAUACAGAGAAGAUUAACAUAGCCCUCAUACAAGGAUGACAUGCAAAUUCGUGAAGUGUUCCUUAUUAAA
ensembl:snRNA U6 U6 spliceosomal RNA